CUGGAAGACGCAGCACGACUAAAGGUGUUUUCAUCUGGAGUGAACCGUUCUUCAUUGACUCAGAGCAUGGUAAGAUGGCAGUAUUUCUGGUCGACACAGAAGGCUGUGAUGGUCAUGAACGAAAGAAAAGCCUAAGUGUUCAACUGUCAGCACUCAGUAUGUUGCUGAGUUCAUACAUGAUUUUUAAUGUUGCCUCAAAGAUUAAUCGGACAGACCUGGAAUAUUUAGAG